rnacentral:lncRNA from 1 species
CAACCACUAUGAUUGUAAAUAAUCGUUGGAAGAAAUAUUGGUGGAAUAAUGCUGACACAAAUCUCUACUAAUAAAGUUGGUCAUCCUCUAGUGGUAAAAGAUCGGAGGUAGCAAUGUUAUUGCUCUAUAACAAACCCUAUUCCUUUACAAAGGUUGGGGGGCAACUAUGUUAAUGGAUGUGAGCAAAGUUCCAAUCUUGGUGACUGUAGUAAAGCAUCAUGGAGGAUUCUAAACAAAGGUUUGCUUCAGCUAGCCCCUCAUCCUAGGGGGUUUCCAUUGUUGGAGAGGGCUCGAGGCAUAAAUCUUUCAUAAAUUUCUGCGGCUAAUGCACUAAAUAAGCAAGGGAAGGAGUCAAAUCUGAAGGGGA